rnacentral:rRNA from 1 species
GACGAACGCUGGCGGCGUGCUUAACACAUGCAAGUUGAACGGAAAGGCCCUGCUUUUGUGGGGUGCUCGAGUGGCGAACGGGUGAGUAACACGUGAGUAACCUGCCCUUGACUUUGGGAUAACUUCAGGAAACUGGGGCUAAUACCGGAUAGGAGCUCCUGCUGCAUGGUGGGGGUUGGAAAGUUUCGGCGGUUGGGGAUGGACUCGCGGCUUAUCAGCUUGUUGGUGGGGUAGUGGCUUACCAAGGCUUUGACGGGUAGCCGGCCUGAGAGGGUGACCGGCCCCAUUGGGACUGAGAUACGGCCCAGACUCCUACGGGAGGCAGCAGUGGGGAAUAUUGCACAAUGGGCGGACGCCUGAUGCAGCAACGCCGCGUGCGGGAUGACGGCCUUCGGGUUGUAAACCGCUUUCGCCUGUGACGAAGCGUGAGUGACGGUAAUGGGUAAAGAAGCACCGGCUAACUACGUG